rnacentral:tRNA from 2 species
GUACCUGUAGCUCAGUGGAUAGAGCACUUGUCUACGGAACAAGGGGUCGGGAGUUCGAAUCUCUCCAGGUACG